UGGGGAAUUUUGGACAAUGGGGGCAACCCUGAUCCAGCAAUGCCGCGUGUGUGAAGUAGGCCUUCGGGUUGUAAAGCACUUUUGUCCGGGAAGAAAUCGCACCUGAUAAUACCGGGUGUGGAUGACGGUACCGGAAGAAUAAGGACCGGCUAACUACGUGCCAGCAGCCGCGGUAAUACGUAGGGUCCAAGCGUUAAUCGGAAUUACUGGGCGUAAAGCGUGCGCAGGCGGUUGUGCAAGACCGAUGUGAAAUCCCCGGGCUUAACCUGGGAAUUGCAUUGGUGACUGCACGGCUAGAGUGUGUCAGAGGGGGGUAGAAUUCCACGUGUAGCAGUGAAAUGCGUAGAGAUGUGGAGGAAUACCGAUGGCGAAGGCAGCCCCCUGGGAUAACACUGACGCUCAUGCACGAAAGCGUGGGGAGCAAACAGG
rnacentral:rRNA from 1 species